AACGCGAAGAACCUUACCCAGGCUCGAAGUGUAGAGGACGUCGACAGAGAUGUCGAUUCCCGAAAGGGUCUCUAUAUAGGUGCUGCAUGGCUGUCGUCAGCUCGUGCCGUGAGGUGUUUGGUUAAGUCCAGCAACGAGCGCAACCCUUAUCGUCAGUUGCCAACGCGUAAUGGCGGGGACUCUGGCGAGACUGCCUAGGUUAACUAGGAGGAAGGUGAGGAUGACGUCAAGUCCGCAUGGCCUUUAUGUCUGGGGCUACACACGUGCUACAAUGGUCGGUACAGAAGGCAGCGAAGCCGCGAGGUGGAGCUAAUCCGAAAAACCGAUCUCAGUUCAGAUUGCAGUCUGCAACUUGGCUGCAUGAAGUUGGAAUUGCUAGUAAUGGCGUGUCAGCAAUAGCGCCGUGAAUACGUUCCCGGGCCUUGUACACACCGAGUAUA
rnacentral:rRNA from 1 species